GAUGAAGAACGCAGCGAAUUGCGAUAAGUAAUGUGAAUUGCAGAAUUCAGUGAAUCAUCGAAUCUUUGAACGCACCUUGCACUCCUUGGUAUUCCGAGGAGUAUGCCUGUUUGAGUGUCAUUAAAUUCUCAAUCCUUCUAGUUUUGCUAGUAAGGUAUUGGAUGUGGGAGUUUGCGGGCUUUCUCUUUUGAAGGUCGGCUCUCCUUAAAUAUAUUAGUGAAACCUUUUGUUGACCAUCACUGGUGUGAUAAUUAUCUACGCCAUUCGAUACAACUAAAUAAAGGUUAUGCUUCUAACCGUCCUAUAUAUAAGGACAAAUUUGACAAAUUUGACCUCAAAUCAGGUAGGACUACCCGCUGAACUUAAGCAUAUCAAUAAGCGGAGGA
rnacentral:misc_RNA from 1 species